GUUAACUUCGGGCCAGGCGCGUGUGCGCGCGCCAGAUGAAAUCCGCCGCGUCCGACAUCGCGUGCAACUUCAGUAGUCAGGUCCUCUGUGGUAUAUGAAAUGUUACGCUCUCUACCAGUGGAUGCUCUGCAGCGAAUGGGUGCCGUCAGAAUGAGAGUCCAAACAGCUGAUAAAAACAUUACAAUAAUCCUCAGCUCCUGGUGAAUCAUAUAUAAAUGAACAGCGUGGACAUCCUUCAAAACAUCCCAGAAGAAAGAAAGUCAAGUUUGGACUGACACGAGGCUCCAGAGUUAUGACUAUGAACCGAGAACCUGAUGGUGGUCUUCAAAUCAUGUACUUCCGAAGGUACCUGAUGCAUGUCUACUAAUGGAUAGAUAUCUCCAGUUAUGAUGGACCUGCUUACAUGCUACUCUUCAGAAUGUUUACUAUGGAACAAUAUCUACUACUGUUUUUAAAAAACAAAUACUGCGUAUCUAUUGCGCAGUACUUAGCAAGUGGAAUCUAGUAUUUCAUUCCCAACACUGGAGAAGAGCCAGUGUGUCCAGUGUUAUUCCGGUCAUAAGCAUCAGGUCCUCUCAAAUCAACCAACUGGCUCUAUGGCCGCUGAACCGGUGACUGAUGGCCAUCUGUGUUGUGUCAAAAGUACCAAAUUAACCCACACAGAUAGCAGUAAUUGCUCUAGUGUGUCGUCCCAAUGGGUUUAUGUGUGUGUGUGUGUGCUGUUUGGCAUCAGGAUUCAGGGUUUUUUGUUGUCGUUGUGAAUCCGUAUGGAGACAUUCUCCUUAUCUGUCUUUAAAACACAUGUACUUGUUUAUUUGGGUCUUUCAUUUCUGUGGCAUAAACAGGAAUAACCAGUAAGUUGAAGUAUAGUAGCCUAUCUUAAGUUUUUAUCUUUUUAAUUUCCCCCGUGGUCCAUUCACAAUGUUAGUCAUGGUUUCUUGAGCCAAACCGGUUUAAUUUUCAUGACUGU